UCUCUUCGGAGAGAGCGGCGGACGGGUGAGUAACGCGUGGGUAACCUGCCCUGUACACACGGAUAACAUACCGAAAGGUAUACUAAUACGGGAUAACAUACGAAAGUCGCAUGGCUUUUGUAUCAAAGCUCCGGCGGUACAGGAUGGACCCGCGUCUGAUUAGCUAGUUGGUAAGGUAAUGGCUUACCAAGGCAACGAUCAGUAGCCGACCUGAGAGGGUGAUCGGCCACACUGGAACUGAGACACGGUCCAGACUCCUACGGGAGGCAGCAGUGGGGAAUAUUGCACAAUGGGCGAAAGCCUGAUGCAGCAACGCCGCGUGAGCGAUGAAGGCCUUCGGGUCGUAAAGCUCUGUCCUCAAGGAAGAUAAUGACGGUACUUGAGGAGGAAGCCCCGGCUAACUACGUGCCAGCAGCCGCGGUAAUACGUAGGGGGCUAGCGUUAUCCGGAAUUACUGGGCGUAAAGGGUGCGUAGGUGGUUUUUUAAGUCAGAAGUGAAAGGCUACGGCUCAACCGUAGUAAGCUUUUGAAACUAGAGAACUUGAGUGCAGGAGAGGAGAGUAGAAUUCCUAGUGUAGCGGUGAAAUGCGUAGAUAUUAGGAGGAAUACCAGUAGCGAAGGCGGCUCUCUGGACUGUAACUGACACUGAGGCACGAAAGCGUGGGGAGCAAACAGGAUUAGAUACCUGGUAGUCCACGCCGUAAACGAUGAGUACUAGGUGUCGGGGGUUACCCCCCUCGGUGCCGCAGCUAACGCAUUAAGUACUCCGCCUGGGAAGUACGCUCGCAAGAGUGAAACUCAAAGGAAUUGACGGGGACCCGCACAAGUAGCGGAGCAUGUGGUUUAAUUCGAAGCAACGCGAAGAACCUUACCUAAGCUUGACAUCCCACUGACCUCUCCCUAAUCGGAGAUUUCCCUUCGGGGACAGUGGUGACAGGUGGUGCAUGGUUGUCGUCAGCUCGUGUCGUGAGAUGUUGGGUUAAGUCCCGCAACGAGCGCAACCCUUGCCUUUAGUUGCCAGCAUUAAGUUGGGCACUCUAGAGGGACUGCCGAGGAUAACUCGGAGGAAGGUGGGGAUGACGUCAAAUCAUCAUGCCCCUUAUGCUUAGGGCUACACACGUGCUACAAUGGGUGGUACAGAGGGUUGCCAAGCCGCGAGGUGGAGCUAAUCCCUUAAAGCCAUUCUCAGUUCGGAUUGUAGGCUGAAACUCGUCUACAUGAAGCUGGAGUUACUAGUAAUCGCAGAUCAGAAUGCUGCGGUGAAUGCGUUCCCGGGUCUUGUACACACCGCCCGUCACACCAUGGAAGUUGGGGGCGCCCGAAGCCGGUUAGCUAACC
rnacentral:rRNA from 1 species